UGAGGUGUGGGGAAGGCGGGGAGGAGUUCUGCGGCUGGUUUACAGCUCUGAUGUACCACGAAUUCCCAGUAAUUGAGGAAAGCUGGAUCUCCUACUCCCACUUCUGCUAGUAACAGCUAUGCCACAGAAAAAAAACAGAGAACAGUACAGAAGACAAAAAGUUCCAGUAGCAAUCAACAAUGGAUCUAUCAACAGGUGCCUUUUCCUUCAAGUCAGCCCUCAACCCCCUCUCAGGGUCGCCUGCCCUAGCCUUAUGAGUGGAAAGCUCCAGGCCACCUACACAGCUAUCGGCCUUACAGGUGAUGCCGGCACCAAGAAAUAACAGUGAGUCAACACAGUUGAAGACACUGUGUGAGUCCUAUCAAAGAGAGGUCUGGCAAACGGUCUAAAUUUCAUUGAUAAAGGAGAGGUGUUUCUUGGUUCCAGUUUGGAACAUAAGCCUUCAUAUUGCUCUAAAAAGAAAAUCAACAAAG